rnacentral:rRNA from 1 species
AAGCCGGUUAGAGUAGCAAAACGAACCAUGUUGACAAAGUUAUGUCGGUAAGACUUAAUGAAAAUAUUGGUUGUGAAUAUAUCAGCUAGAGUAACAUAUAAAUUGAGACUUUUAAUAAAUAGCGUUUAUAUAAAUACAAGACAUAAACAAGAUUGAUAUAAAGCUCUAUUAACUUGAAAGAGUAUUAUCUCAAUGAUCGAAAAUCCUGGGUUUUCUACACAACUAUUAAAGAUGUAGUUAAAAAGACGGUCCCUAAGUAAUAUUUAGGUUACGAUGGGUACCUGCUAUGCCCAAUAAAAUCUAGUAUGUAGAUCUGUUGCAGGAAAAAAUAGCGGGCAAUUUAUACUAUACAAAAAUAGUAAUUCAGUAAUACCGUACUAAAACUGACUCUGGUGGAUUAGUAGAUUUUACUUAGAUUUGGUUAUAAUCGUUCGUAAGGAACUCGGCAAAUUGCGCUGGUACUUUCGAAAACAGCGGUCUAAAAAAACCUUUUAGAUCUCAGAUAAUAGAACUGGGUGACAGUUUACUAAAAACUUAGCGUCCUGCCAAUUUGAAACAAGACGUAUAGGAUGUGACGUUUGCUAACGGCCACUAAUUUAAGUAAUCUGUUGUAAAAGGUAGAUAAACAAGAUGUGGUGACGAGCGGCCGUGUGCGAGUCGUUUAAAGGGAAACAAAAACUUUUUGGAGCCUUUAGGUAGAGGUUAUAAACUUCAUUAACUGUAAUAAUUUGUUGGUGUAAAUCCAAACAUCACAAGAACUGAUGAAAAGCAUAACCCGCAUGCCUUUUGAGGUGUGAAGCCGGGUUAAACGGGAUGAAGGAAACGACGAAUCUCUAGCAAGGAGUAUAUGAUUAACAGACGUGAAUCUGCGGUUAAAGCACGGUGAUUCCAGGCAUACUGUACGGCCGAGUAUGUUGUUCUUUGGACAAAGUCAUGGUGUAUAGCAGGAAUCUAAGUACUCAUAGUAAGUUAUUACGGAACGACAAAACCCCGCAAACACGGGAGUGGGAUGGCGUAAAAAGCGAAUGCCGAACUUUGUUUUGUUUAGAAAAACAAAACACUUACUAAUAAAAUGAAUUACACUUUUCUUUUUAUUAUUUUGGAAUUUACAAGUUUUGCUUGUAAGCCUUUGAGACUGACAAGCGGCGCUGAAAAGGCGUACCCUGUAAUGGGGCGGAUAUGCUAACGUACGCCGCGUGAAAAAAAAACAGUAAUAAAAUUAAAUUAUAUUAUGCCAAAGUUACAUUUCAAACAAAAAACACAUGUUUACCAUGACACUACAAUGCUUGGGCAUUAUUUGGCCGGGCUUUGGGAGGGCGAUGGUAAUAUAAAUAUAAAAGACAAGAAUUACCCAAAACCCACAAUUCACAUAACAUUGCAUAAGCAGCAAGAGCCUUGUGCUAAAAAAUUAUUGGUUUUAUUAAGUCGUUUAUGCAGUGGUCCCGUGGGCAGUGUUCAUAUACGAGAUGACAAUAAUUCGUGUGUGCUUAACAUUUACACACCACAAGGAUUAAAGUUUGUUGUAGGUUUGAUUAAACAUAAACUAAGAAAAAAGCGUUUCACUUGAACCGUGGUAUUGAUUGGUUAAACAGCUAUGGUCCGAGUUUAAAUUUUAGUCAUAUUAAUAGCGUAAGUGAUUUUGACCUGAGCACACCCUGGUUCGCAGGGUUUUGUGACGCAGAUGCGAGCUUUGGUAUUGAUUUAAGUUUUAAAACGCGCUUAAAAGUGUCGUGUCAAUUUCAAAUAAACCAACGCAUGAGUGACCCACGGACAGGUUUAAGCUAUCACAAACUGUUUUGCUCAAUUGCUGAUGCGCUAACAGUAAACAUAUGCACUAUAAUUGAAAAAAGAAGUGGGCGGCUGUAUUAUGCGAUUAAAGCCACAAGCCAUAAAUCAAAAGAUACUUUACGCAGUUAUUUUGACUCAUACCCGUUAUUAACGUCAAAGUUUUUAGACUAUAAAUCUUGGUGUGAUGCUGAUAAUUUGUUAAGAGAUAAAAAUAAAAACCGCGCUAAGUAUUUAGAGCAAAUUCAGUUUUUAAAGCAAGGCAUGAAUCACAGUCGGCGCAGCUUUACUUGGUAUCACUUACGCCAUAUAUAAAUAGAUAAACUUUUUUUUUUUCACGAGGAGCCGUAUGAUGGGAAACUAUCACGUACGGUUUUGAAUAAGCAGUUUUGGGGAGGCCCAACGCUGACUUUAACAACUAUAACGGUCAUAAAGUAGCGAAAUUCCUAGGCAUUUAAUUGGUGUCCUGCAUGAAUAACGUAACAACCUGGUUGCUGUCUCGCGAGCGAAAACCGUGAAAUAAGAAUAUCGGUCAAAAUACCGAUUAGGCUAUCUUAGACGAUAAGACCCUGUGAAGCUUUACUGUAACCUAACAUUGCGAUCGGUUUUUUAUCUUACAGUUAGGCGGGAGGCAAUGCCAACAAUGGAAAACCGCUAGAUAAUAAAUUGAUCGCUUUUAUAUAAGAAUACUUUUU